rnacentral:rRNA from 1 species
UACGUAGGGUGCAAGCGUUGUCCGGAAUUAUUGGGCGUAAAGAGCUCGUAGGCGGCUUGUCGCGUCAACUGUGAAAACCCGUGGCCCAACCAUGUGGUCUGCAGUCGAUACGGGCAGGCUAGAAUUCGGUAGGGGAGACUGGAAUUCCUGGUGUAGCGGUGAAAUGCGCAGAUAUCAGGAGGAACACCGGUGGCGAAGGCGGGUCUCUGGGCCGAUAUUGACGCUGAGGAGCGAAAGCGUGGGGAGCGAACAGG